rnacentral:misc_RNA from 1 species
UUUCCGUAGGUGAACCUGCGGAAGGAUCAUUAAAAAUGAAGCCGGGAAACCGGUCCUUCUCACCCUUGAUUAUCUCAAUUUGUUGCUUUGGUGGGCCGCGCAAGCACCGGCUUCGGCUGGAUCGUGCCCGCCAGAGGACCACAACUCUGUAUUAUAUGUCGUCUGAGUACUAUAAAAUAGUUAAAACUUUCAACAACGGAUCUCUUGGCUCUU